GACGAACGCUGGCGGCGUGCCUAAUACAUGCAAGUAGAACGCUGAAGAGAGGAGCUUGCUCUUUUUGGAUGUGUUGCGAACGGGUGAGUAACGCGUAUGUAACCUGCUUUGUAGUGGGGGAUAACUAUUGGAAACGAUAUCUAAUACCGCAUAACAUUGUAUGACACGUUUCAGUUAUUUGAAUUUGGCAAUUUCGCGACGACAAGACGGACUUGCGUUGUAUUAGCUAGUAGGUGAGGUAAUGGCUCAUCUAGGCGAGGAUACAUAGCAGACGUGAGAGGAUGAUCGGCCAGACUGGGACUGAGACAGGGCACAGAGGGCUAGGGGAGGCAGCAGUAGGGAAACUGCAGCAAUGGGGGCGAAACUGACCGAGAUACGCCGAGUGAGUGAAGAAGGUCUCCGGAUCGUAGAGGUCUGUUGUCGGUCAAGAACGGGUGUGAGAGUGGAAAGAUCACAGUGUGACGGUAGCUUACAAGAAAGGGACGGCUAACUACGUG
rnacentral:rRNA from 1 species